GACGAACGCUGGCGGCGUGCUUAACACAUGCAAGUCGAACGGAAGGGCCCCAGCUUGCUGGGGUACUCGAGUGGCGAACGGGUGAGUAACACGUGGGUGAUCUGCCCUGCACUCUGGGAUAAGCCUGGGAAACUGGGUCUAAUACCGGAUAGGACUGUGCUUUAGUGUGUGCGGUGGAAAGUUUUUCGGUGCAGGAUGAGCCCGCGGCCUAUCAGCUUGUUGGUGGGGUAAUGGCCUACCAAGGCGGCGACGGGUAGCCGGCCUGAGAGGGUGUACGGCCACAUUGGGACUGAGACACGGCCCAGACUCCUACGGAAGGCAGCAGUGGGGAAUAUUGCACAAUGGGCGCAAGCCUGAUGCAGCGACGCCGCGUGGGGGAUGACGGCCUUCGGGUUGUAAACCCCUUUCGGCAGGGACGAAGCUUUUGUGACGGUACCUGCAUAAGAAGCACCGGCUAACUACGUG
rnacentral:rRNA from 1 species